CUCUGUCGCGCCAUCUCGACUCCCCUGUGGUUCGCUCUGCUGUGCACCUCCGCUUCACCUUUCUCAGCAUUUCGGCGCGAGGUUUCGAAGAUGGGGUGCAAGUUCACCUUUCUCGUCUACGCGAUCCUCCAGCUCAUCGCGUUCCUUUCCGUGCUGAUCGGUACGCCGCUGGAGAUGUUUCGUGGCACCACGAGGGACCCGUAUAACGUAUCCUUGUGCAUCACUUUAUGGGGUACAAAGUACGACUUCCAAUGCCACUUCAUCAUGUACGCCCAGACGACGGACGGGCAGUGGGCGCGUUGCACGACCCGCCGCCAACAUUUCCGCAUGGCUGAGGCGUUGGUAGUCAUCUCCAUCAUCCUGUACGCCUUGGCGGCGCUGCUUGGCUUCAUUAUGCUGUUCUGCUGCUCUUUGCUCCGCUGGGUAUGCCUGGCGCUCAACGUCGUUGGCCUCUUAACGUUGGGCAUCACCUGGGGCCUUAUGGUGACGGAGUUCAACAAGGGUGACGGCCCACUUUGCCCUCCUCUGAAGAACAACUACAAGUUUGGCUACGGCUUCUUUCUCCUGUUGGUGGCCUGGGUCCUGGAUCUCGUCGACAUCGUCUUCUUGCUGUUCCCGUUGCCGACUAUGCGCGCAGAUGAGAGUGAGAAAUCGAACGAAAGCGUAGAGCAGGAGUAGGCGGAAGGGAGCCGCAGGAGGCGGAGGGGCGGUGUUGCUAGCCGCGCGGCAGCUUCGCGACGACGCGCUCGUGGAGGAGCCGGCGGAGCUGAUGUCAGCGUGCCAGAGGGAGGGAGCGAGAGCUGCGGAUACUCGCCCCUGCCCUUCGCCGGCAGCUCUCCGUCUGCUGCUCGCUGCCCUCUCGUGCGUGCGCGUGAGGUGCGCCGCACGCGCUGCCGAGGGGGUGCAGACGUGCAGGCACGCCCUGGCAUGCACAUGCCGAGGAGCCGCUCUCGCUUUCUGCGCUUCCGCGUCUCUUUCUCCGUUUCCCGUCGUGCUGCAUUGCUGUCGAGUGCCAGUGCGGCGUAUGCGGGCACUUGCUGACGUGUUCAUGGUUUCUCCCUCGCCUGUCUUCGUCUUCUCGUGCGUGUGCCGCUUGUUGAGCUUUCCGCCUCUCGCCUCGCUGUUGCCUUUUCUGCUGACCUGCGCAGCGGUCUGCGCGUUGUGGUGGGCAGCGCACCCUUGACGGCGACCCGCCCACCGAUGACCCCUCCCUCCCCCCUCUGAGCGGUCGCCCUCGCUGCCUUGUUGAAGCAGGCCCCCCCCCUCUCCCCCGCACGCUCGGCGGGCGCAGCCUUGGCGAGACGAGAGGGCGAGCGGGGAAGCGAGGGGGUGGCACGGGCGUCGCCGGCCGGAGCAUUGAGGUGUGCAAGCGAGGGUGCACGGCUGCGAGGGCGAGGGAAGGCCGACGACGAGAACGGGCGAGGAAGAGACGGACGCGCUGGAAAGAGGGACGGUGAGCGCAAGGCCGCCACCGCACUGGUGGCCAGCCUCCGCCCCCUCCCUCCGUACAUCGGUGUCGCGGCCGCGCGUGUUUCCUGUACUUCUCUGGGGCGCCCCCUCUCGCCCCGUCUCUGUCUCCUCGCCCUCACGCACGCCGCAUGGACUCCUCAAACGGAGAGGGGGGAGGGGCGGGGUGCCACGUGUGGUGGUGGCGGGCGCAGGAACCAAACGGGCUAAUGGGCGGACGGCACGGGGAGGAGAGAGGACGGCGUCCGCGGACCCAGAAGCGACACACAGGUGCGUACGCAGCGCUAAAGAGGGGCGAUUGCAGCUCUUGCUCCUCUUGGUUCCUUGCGCCCCAUGCACGGCCUACGUGUGCGCGCACACACCGACGCGCGCGCAGGUGCGCAGGAGGGGCGGCACCCCCUGCUGCCGUGUAAGGGGCUGCGGUGUCGGGCGGGGCAGUGGGGAGAGAGAGGGCGAGGCUGGCGAGGUGGCGGGUGGGAGGCUCUCCAUGGUGCACGAAGGGCGACCUCACGUCGGACGUGGGCGUGCGUGGUGAGGCGUGUGCCCUUUGCGUUGCUCUCGAGCCCUCGUCGCGUUUGUGCCCUCCGCUGUUUUCCGUGUCUCUUUCUGCUUCCGCAUGGACGCGCGCCUCCCCUCGACCCCCGCUGUCGCACACGGCAUGCGCGUGUGUGCCGGUGCAUGCGCCCUUGUGACCGUCCUCCCCCUUCCUCAGCGGAUGCCCCCCUCCCCGCCGCCCCUCUCUUGCUGCGGCGACUGCCCCGCGCUCCUCGCACUCCCAGGGAGGAAGAAGCGCCGCUGCGACAGGAGAGCCGCCGAGCACACCCUCUGUCCCGCCCCCCUCCUUAUGUUGCCGCUGCUUCCUCCUCUCGUCUCGUGCUCUUGUGCGCACCCGCCGCUACGCGUCUUCACUUGCUUUGCUGCUCUUUUCCGCGUGCCGGUACCCGCGCUCCCCUUUCUCUCGGUCCUCCGCAGGCCACGGACGCGUGGGGCCCGCCUGCGUGUGCGUGUGCGUGUGCGUCUCUCCCGUCGCUUUAUGCGCGCCGCUGUCCUUCUCUUGUGCCUCUCUCCCCGUGCGCAGGCGAGAGGGGCUGGCUGAGACGGCGAAGAGAACGGCCACGGCAGCACAGCGGAGCAGGGGGACGGGGGAGGGGGUGAGUGCGCAACGGCGACGGCGCCCCCAAAGGAUAGGGGGCUAGCCCUUCAACAGGAGUGCGUGCCUGCGUGUGUGUGCUUGUCUCUGUGCGCGUUGUGUCUUUAUUAUGUCUUCGCCUUUCUUGUGUCGCUUCUUUUGCUUUUCUUUGUUUCGAUGCCUAAUCACACCACCGAGUCCUCCAGACUCCCAUGUGAAGAGUCUUUACCCCUUGCUACGGGAUUCGGUGGCGUGGUGCAACUCGGGGCGAGGCGUGGCAUGCAGGCAGAGCACAGGGUCUCAAAGGGCCCUGACCCGCGGCUGGCCAGCAUUCUCCCUGAGGUCGUCCGGCACUCACCGAGGCCACCGCCUGUUACCCACACGACUGACGUCACCGCUUCCGCCCUCGAGCAGGAGCCUGGACGCGCUGCCCGCCUGGGCCGAGGCAUGCGUUCCACCCGGGUCCGUGUGGCGCCUACCGCGCAGCACGUACCCGAGGGAGGGGACGAGCAAGGACAGGAGGAGCCGGUACGACGCAUGGCCCGAUUGAAGGGCAGGCAGUGCGUCCUUGGCGACCAGGAUGUAGCUGUGGCGCAACAGAGGCGUGCGAGCUGUGGUUGAAUGCGUAUAUUUGUCGACGUGUUCGUGGUGGAGUGGGGCGUGCAAGGGCGUCUCACUGCCACGGGCGGACACGCAAAACGUCAAUAAUGUAACGGCCAAACAGCAAGGAGGAACACGCGCGCGCACACGCAGGCGACAGUGCGAACGUCGCACAUAUUGUUCUCGCCCCCGACGGCUCCGCACUGCCUCCGCCUGAAAAGACAGCGUGCGCGCGCGCGCGCCUGUUUGUGUCCUCUUUCUUUUCCUCGCCUUGCCUUUUGCUUUUGUGUCAUGGCUUCCUGCGCGCGUUUCUGUUCGUUUCUGUCUUGCGAUCUCGCUUUCGUUCCUCGACUCGCCGACCCCCGCAGCGUCAGGGCGGCGGCCGCCAUCGCCCUCUUCUCCGGGAGGAGGCGUGGUGGUGGUGGUGUGGUGGCGCCGAGCUCUUUGCUGCUGCCAGCGGCAAGGCUGUGCUAUGCGCGCGCGUUUGCAUGCCGGUGUAUGUGCGCCGGCCUAUGUGCACACGCAUGCGUGCGUGUGUGCCUCGUGGCAACGCCGCUUCUUUUUGCACUCAUUCCUCUUCGUCCGCCCCUCUCCUCUCUGCUGCACCUUCGCGCGUGCCUCACGGGUGCUUGUUGGCGAAACACGAUGAUGAGUGGCAACCCAG
rnacentral:misc_RNA from 1 species